AGUCGAACGAUGACCCACCUUCGGGUGGGGAUUAGUGGCGAACGGGUGAGUAACACGUGGGCAAUCUGCCCUGCACUCUGGGACAAGCCCUGGAAACGGGGUCUAAUACCGGAUACUGAACCGCUUGGGCAUCCGGGCGGUUCGAAAGCUCCGGCGGUGCAGGAUGAGCCCGCGGCCUAUCAGCUUGUUGGUGAGGUAACGGCUCACCAAGGCGACGACGGGUAGCCGGCCUGAGAGGGCGACCGGCCACACUGGGACUGAGACACGGCCCAGACUCCUACGGGAGGCAGCAGUGGGGAAUAUUGCACAAUGGGCGAAAGCCUGAUGCAGCGACGCCGCGUGAGGGAUGACGGCCUUCGGGUUGUAAACCUCUUUCAGCAGGGAAGAAGCGAAAGUGACGGUACCUGCAGAAGAAGCGCCGGCUAACUACGUGCCAGCAGCCGCGGUAAUACGUAGGGCGCGAGCGUUGUCCGGAAUUAUUGGGCGUAAAGAGCUCGUAGGCGGCUUGUCGCGUCGGUUGUGAAAGCCCGGGGCUUAACCCCGGGUCUGCAGUCGAUACGGGCAGGCUAGAGUUCGGUAGGGGAGAUCGGAAUUCCUGGUGUAGCGGUGAAAUGCGCAGAUAUCAGGAGGAACACCGGUGGCGAAGGCGGAUCUCUGGGCCGAUACUGACGCUGAGGAGCGAAAGCGUGGGGAGCGAACAGGAUUAGAUACCCUGGUAGUCCACGCCGUAAACGGUGGGCACUAGGUGUGGGCGACAUUCCACGUCGUCCGUGCCGCAGCUAACGCAUUAAGUGCCCCGCCUGGGGAGUACGGCCGCAAGGCUAAAACUCAAAGGAAUUGACGGGGGCCCGCACAAGCGGCGGAACAUGUGGCUUAAUUCGACGCAACGCGAAAAACCUUACCAAGGCUUGACUUCAACCGGAAAGCCUCGGAGAUGGGGCCCCCCUUGUGGUCCGGGUACAGGUGGUGCAUGGCUGUCCUCACCUCUGGCCGGGAAAUGUUGGGUUAAUUCCCGCACAAAGCGCAACCCUUGUCCCGGUUUCCCAGCAGGCCCUUUGGGUGCUGGGGAAUCCCGGGAAACCCCCGGGGUCCACUCCGAG
rnacentral:rRNA from 1 species